AACCCAUGGUGUGGGCAUUGUCUGAGAAUAUUAUUAUAUCCAUCUCAUGCUUCAAAUAAAUAUUCUGAAUUGGAUUGUCUGAAUCUUGAAAUAAGAUAUCUCAUAU